rnacentral:rRNA from 1 species
CCGGCACGGGUGAGUAACGCGUAUGCAACUUGCCUAUCAGAGGGGGAUAACCCGGCGAAAGUCGGACUAAUACCGCAUGAAGCAGGGGCCCGCAUGGGGAUAUUUGCUAAAGAUUCAUCGCUGAUAGAUAGGCAUGCGUUCCAUUAGGCAGUUGGCGGGGUAACGGCCCACCAAACCGACGAUGGAUAGGGGUUCUGAGAGGAAGGUCCCCCACAUUGGUACUGAGACACGGCCAA